rnacentral:sRNA from 1 species
GCUCCCGGAGCAUCGCGCUGGGAGAAGACUUCGCCGCUCGGGGCAGCAGCCUGUGUGAUCUCAUCGCCGCCCUGUCGUGACUUCAUCAAUGUCGUGUUGUGACCUGGCUGCGGCGGGACAGGUGGUGACCGCCAGGAACCCUCCUCCCCUUCUCAUCUCCCCAUCUCAGCAGCCCCGCUUCGAUUAUCCGGCUUUUGGAUUCUCCGUUGUCCUGGGAACUAUCCGGGACCCCCUCUUGCUUCUCCAGCCCCUGCCGGCAUCCACAGGCUGGUAGCGGGACGGGGAGGGCGAGAAGAGGGAGCGCAAGGGGUUAAUUCUGCUGCUGCCGCCGCUGCUGCUGCUGCUGCUGCAGCCUCUACCCGAGGGAGGGAAAGGAGAGGAGUUGGGCAAGGCGAGCAUCAUGGCCUCGGAUUGCGAGCCAGCUCUGAACCAGGCAGAGGGCCGAAACCCCACCCUGGAGCGCUACCUGGGAGCCCUCCGUGAGGCCAAGAAUGACAGCGAGCAGUUUGCAGCCCUGCUGCUAGUGACCAAGGCAGUCAAAGCAGGUGACAUAGAUGCCAAAACUCGGCGGCGGAUCUUCGAUGCUGUCGGCUUCACCUUCCCCAAUCGUCUCCUGACCACCAAGGAGGCGCCGGAUGGCUGCCCUGACCAUGUUCUGCGGGCUUUGGGUGUGGCCCUGCUGGCCUGCUUCUGCAGUGACCCUGAACUGGCCGCCCAUCCCCAAGUCCUGAACAAGAUUCCCAUUCUUAGCACCUUCCUCACAGCCCGGGGGGACCCGGACGAUGCUGCCCGCCGCUCCAUGAUUGAUGACACCUACCAGUGCCUGACGGCUGUAGCAGGCACACCCAGAGGGCCUCGGCACCUCAUUGCUGGUGGCACCGUGUCUGCCCUAUGCCAGGCAUACCUGGGGCACGGCUAUGGCUUUGACCAGGCCCUGGCACUCCUGGUGGGGCUGCUGGCUGCUGCCGAGACACAGUGCUGGAAGGAGGCGGAGCCCGACCUGCUGGCCGUGUUGCGGGGCCUCAGUGAGGAUUUCCAGAA